rnacentral:rRNA from 1 species
GGAGAGAAUAAGAAAAAUAAUUUUCGUAAUUUUAGUAAUUUUUAAUGAAAAUAAAGUAAAGACUAAAGAGAAAAGUACUGUGAAGGAAAGUUGUUAAAACUUUUUAUAGAAGAAGUAAAAUUUUGUGCCUCGUGUAUCAGAAAAAGUUUAUAUAGUUUAGUUACAAUAAGUAUCUCGAAAUAAAAUACAGUAAUUUUUAUAAAAUUUUCUUUUUAGAAAAAAAGAAUUUAAUAUAAAAUUUAAAGUGAAAUGCUAGCUGAGUUUUAUGAUAUCUAGUUUUUUUAAAAAUAAAUUUAAUUUAAUUUUUAUAAAGAAAAAGUUAUAAAAUUAAAUGGUAGGGGGGAUUAGCUCUUUACGGAAAAGAUAAUGAAAUAGUUAAAUAAAAGUAAAUUAUAUAUAAAUUAGGCUUAGAAGUAGCUAUAUUGAAAAAGUGUUUUAACUAAAUUAUAAUUGCUUGAAUAUUUAAAAUAAAACUUUUCUUAGGUAUAAAAAAAUGGCUCAAACAAAACAAAACAAGAUAUGAUGAUUUUAUUAGUAAAAUUUAUUGAGUAAAUAAAGAUAUUAAAAGGUAAAAAUUGUUUAAAAAAAUAAGUA